CAGUCGGGAGUUGACCUGAGAUACUGCUGCUGUUGACUUCCUGUGGUGUGUCUGUUGACUUCCUGUGGUGUGUCUGUUGACUUCAUGUGGUGUGUCUGUUGACUUCCUGUGGUGUGUCUGUUGCGUCCCAAAUAGCACCCUAUUCCCUAUAUAGUGCACUACUAUUGAUGAGAGCCCUGAUCGAAAGUAUUGCACUAUAUAUGGAAUAGGAUUCCAUUUGGGUUGCAGGGAGUCUCAGGGCAAAGUCAGGAGUAGGUAACCAUGGUGACUGGUACACUACAGAUCACAGGCUGAGAGUCUCAGGAGUAGGUAGCCAUGGUGACUGGUACACUACAGAUCACAGGCUGAGAGUCUCAGGAGUAGGUAGCCAUGGUGACUGGUACACUACAGAUCACAGGCUGAGAGUCUCAGGAGUAGGUAACCAUGGUGACUGGGUACACUACAGAGCACAGGCUGAGAGUCUCAGGAGUAGGUAGCCAUGGUGACUGGUACACUACAGAUCACAGGCUGAGAGUCUCAGGAGUAGGUAACCAUGGUGACUGGUACACUACAGAUCACAGGCUGAGAGUCUCAGGAGUAGGUAACCAUGGUGACUGGUACACUACAGAUCACAGGCUGAGAGUCUCAGGAGUAGGUAACCAUGGUGACUGGUACACUACAGAUCACAGGCUGAGAGUCUCAGGAGUAGGUAACCAUGGUGACUGGGUACACUACAGAUCACAGGCUGAGAGUCUCAGGAGUAGGUAACCAUGGUGACUGGUACACUACAGAUCACAGGCUGAGAGUCUCAGGAGUAGGUAGCCAUGGUGACUGGGUACACUACAGAUCACAGGCUGAGAGUCUCAGGAGUAGGUAACCAUGGUGACUGGUACACUACAGAUCACAGGCUGAGAGUCUCAGGAGUAGGUAGCCAUGGUGACUGGUACACUACAGAUCACAGGCUGAGAGUCUCAGGAGUAGGUAACCAUGGUGACUGGUACACUACAGAUCACAGGCUGAGAGUCUCAGGAGUAGGUAACCAUGGUGACUGGUACACUACAGAUCACAGGCUGAGAGUCUCAGGAGUAGGUAACCAUGGUGACUGGUACACUACAGAUCACAGGCUGAGAGUCUCAGGAGUAGGUAACCAUGGUGACUGGUACACUACAGAUCACAGGCUGAGAGUCUCAGGAGUAGGUAGCCAUGGUGACUGGGUACACUACAGAUCACAGGCUGAGAGUCUCAGGAGUAGGUAACCAUGGUGACUGGUACACUACAGAUCACAGGCUGAGAGUCUCAGGAGUAGGUAACCAUGGUGACUGGUACACUACAGAUCACAGGCUGAGAGUCUCAGGAGUAGG